UACGUAGGUGGCAAGCGUUGUCCGGAUUUACUGGGUGUAAAGGGCGUGCAGCCGGGAGUGCAAGUCAGAUGUGAAAUCCCGCGGCUCAACCGCGGAACUGCAUUUGAAACUGUGCUUCUUGAGUGCUGGAGAGGCAGACGGGGUUCCUAGUGUAGCGGUGAAAUGCGUAGAUAUUAGGAGGAACACCAGUGGCGAAGGCGGUCUGCUGGACAGUAACUGACGGUGAGGCGCGAAAGCGUGGGGAGCAAACAGG
rnacentral:rRNA from 1 species